rnacentral:rRNA from 1 species
GUGAGGAAUAUUGGUCAAUGGGCGCAAGCCUGAACCAGCCAUGCCGCGUGCAGGAAGACGGUCCUAUGGAUUGUAAACUGCUUUUAUACAGGAAGAAACCUCCCUACGUGUAGGGACUUGACGGUACUGUAGGAAUAAGGAUCGGCUAACUCCGUGCCAGCAGCCGCGGUAAUACGGAGGAUCCAAGCGUUAUCCGGAAUCAUUGGGUUUAAAGGGUCCGUAGGCGGUCUUAUAAGUCAGUGGUGAAAGCCCAUCGCUCAACGAUGGAACUGCCAUUGAUACUGUGAGACUUGAAUUUUUGUGAAGUAACUAGAAUAUGUAGUGUAGCGGUGAAAUGCUUAGAUAUUACAUGGAAUACCAAUUGCGAAGGCAGGUUACUAACAAACGAUUGACGCUGAUGGACGAAAGCGUGGGGAGCGAACAGGAUUAGAAACCCCUGUAGUCC